AUGCCCAAGUCCAUUUCCUGUCCUGGCCUAGCUAGAGGCUAAGAGCCAGAGAAGAGAGAGCUUGGCUCUCUUCAGAAGGGGUGAGCUCUGAUACCUUGAGAAGAUGGUGGCAGGAGAGAUGCCCACGGCAAUGGCCAUCAACAUGAGAGUGGUUCCUCCAGCCCUGAAAUUACUGGCCUCCAGGUCGGCAGUGUGGCCCACUGCAAUAAUAAUGGUUGCCGGGAUGGCCUUGGACAGCUGGAUGAAGAGCAGAGCAAGCUGGAGCUGGCACCGUGGGAGGUCCCGGGGUGGCCGGAGGUAAAAAUGAACAAGAACCCUAAAAUGUAUUGACAAGAAUCCUCUCCAAGCCCCCUAUAGACAGGAGAGCCCACCUUCCUGGGGAUGGGAAUGCUGUGAGGCAACAUUUUACCAUUGGGGUAUGAACAAAGUCAACUCGUGGGCAAAAAUAAAAAUUCA